rnacentral:piRNA from 1 species
UAUCAUCCCUAGAAAUGCCUUCUUC